CCCUUAGAUGUUCUGGGCCGCACGCGUGCUACACUGAACGGUUCAAUGGGUAAGGUAGUGCGAAAGCAUGACCUAAUCUCGAAAUCCGUUCGUGCUGGGGAUAGAAGCUUGCAAUUAUCCUUCUUGAACGAGGAAUACCUUGUAAGCGUGAGUCAUCAUCUCACGCUGAAUACGUCCCUGCCCUUUGUACACACCGCCCGUCGCUCCUACCGAUUGAGUGUUCCGGUGAGGCUUUUGGAGAAUGGCCUCAACAUGAGUUUAUCGUGUUUUGCCGUUUGAACUUAGUCAAACCUUAUCACUUAGAGGAAGGAGAAGUCGUAACA
rnacentral:rRNA from 1 species